UCUCUUGUUACGGCCGCCAUUUUAAUACUCGGGUCGGACCGCGUAGUAGUCAAUCUCUUUCCUUUGCGUCGGUGUGCGCGCGCUUUUUUUUUUUUGCCCCCCCUUCGGCCCGUUCCCGCUAUGGAGGAGAACACCGACUACGGCAGUAGCAAUAACAACAACAACACAAGCUCCGGCGGCGGUGGCGGCGGCGGCCAGGAAGAGUUCGCCGAAGGCUCGAAGAUCAACGCCAGCAAGAACCAGCAGGAUGACGGUAAAAUGUUCAUUGGUGGUCUGAGCUGGGAUACGAGCAAAAAAGACUUGACGGAGUAUUUGUCUCGCUUUGGUGAAGUGGUGGAUUGCACAAUAAAAACAGAUCCUGUCACAGGGAGGUCAAGAGGUUUUGGGUUUGUGCUUUUCAAAGAUGCUGCCAGUGUUGAGAAGGUCUUGGAAUUGAAAGAACACAAAUUGGAUGGCAAGUUAAUAGAUCCCAAAAGGGCAAAAGCUCUGAAAGGAAAAGAGCCACCAAAAAAAGUGUUUGUUGGUGGACUGAGUCCGGAUACAUCUGAAGAACAAAUCAAGGAGUAUUUUGGUGGUUUUGGAGAGAUUGAGAAUAUAGAGCUUCCCAUGGACACAAAAACAAACGAAAGGAGAGGUUUCUGCUUCAUCACAUACUCUGAUGAAGAACCAGUAAAGAAAUUGCUGGAAAGCAGAUACCAUCAGAUUGGUUCUGGCAAGUGUGAGAUAAAAGUAGCACAGCCCAAAGAUGUAUAUAGGCAGCAGCAACAGCAACAAAAGGGAGGCAGAGGUGCUUCAUCUGGUGGGCGUGGGGGAUCCAGAGGACGUGGCAGGGGUCAAGGCCAAAAUUGGAAUCAAGGGUAUAACAAUUAUUAUGAUCAAGGAUAUGGAAGUUACAACAGUCCUUACAGUGAUCAAAGCUACAGCAGCUAUGGGGGAUACGAUUAUUCUGGGUACAAUUACCCAGGUUACGGCUACGGCCAGGGAUAUGCUGACUACAGUGUAAGGUCUAGCUUGACAAGAGUGCCUUUUUGUCAAACCAACCUGCAGUCUCUUACGGUUCCCAAAACUGCCAAUAUUCUCUCUUGGAAUAGGACAGCAAAGCACAUAUGGAAAGGCAUCCCGAGGUGGCGGUAAUCACCAAAACAACUACCAGCCAUAUUAAAGAAAUACUUGGGAAGAAACAGCGGGAACUUCCUUGCAGGCCGUGUGUCACCCUGACCACGUCUAUCUCUGGGGGUCGCACGUUGCAGGCAGAGCGCAAGGCAUACACCAGAAAACGCUGUCCUGUGGUAGAGACUACAGCAAAGCCAUCUUGCAGAACUUAAAAGGACUUGACUGGAGGGUAGUCUUCGUGACAUGAAAUUGUUUUGUAAAAGACUUUUAGUGUAUGACACAGCAGUGUCUAACUGUACAUAGUGACCGGCUAGUUUUCUUUAUGGUUUUUACUUUUUUGUCCUUUUGUCAUCUGUGUUACGAUGCCAAUGUGGUUCUUGUGUUUAUACAAUUUUAUUUGUAUUUCUUGUUGGAUGACUCAAAUAAAAAAACUUACCUUCUG